AAUCUCCUUUUUCCUCCCAUUUUUUUCACUGGUUUGGCUUCCACGGGAUUGAUUUGGUUUCCAGCUGGCAUCUUUUCAGCUUCAUUUAGGAAAAUUGGGUCGAAUUAUUUUUAUCUGGUCUGUCUUCUCUAUUGGAAAUGGCUGUUCUACUUAUUCUGGGUUCUUGAAAUCGAGGAUCAUUACAUGAUUUCUGAGAUGUUUUAUAUUUGGGCUGCCACUUCCAUCAUAUUAUUCGCCAUGUUUAUAUUUGUUUCUAUCGAAUACAUUUUAACCAUAAUAUAUUUGAUAGAAACAAAAAAAUAAAAAUAACUUGGGCGAAUAAUAUGAUGGAAAUGGCAGCCCAAAUCUAAAACAUCUAAGAAAUCGUGUACGGGUCUGUAAAACGUCUAAGAAAUCGUGAUCAGGUCCACAUACGAGGCACUGGCCUGAUUUACAGACCGAUUAUUAACUGUUACUCAAUGCAACCCAGCAAGCUUCCUAGCUUAGAAGGUCCCGUUUCACCAAAUAAAUAAUCUGAGAAGUCUUCACUCCUGGAAGAGUCCUUAGUGCUUGUAGUGCUGCACGAGCUUGCAUCAGAGCCGCUGAAAAUGGAAGAACUCUCACUCGAUGAAUCAGCUGAAGAAAUUCUUUGCAUUGGAGGAUGAUACUUAU